AGAACUUGAUGUAGGGUCGUAUGUGGCAUUCCAUUGAGAACACAUCACAAUUCAGCUUCUCUGCUUAAUAUUGUUUCCUUCCUUUCCCUUAUACAGUUGUGGAUCAAAGGCACUCCCUAAUCUAUUUAUUUUAUUAGCCUUUUAAAAUAACUGGUCAGGUGCAGGUAAUCACAAGGGCCGGUUUCCUUUAAUUCACCUUUAUCCCGAGGAGUAAGCCCUUAAGUAUCCUAGAUCAGUCCUAGGUAUAUCACUGAGGUCUGCUGGACACAUUUUAAGUUUUUGUUUCUUUUUAUGAGGUAUUCUAGCUACUUGCAAGGAUGGGGCAAUGUAAAGGGUUAGUUCAAAUAAAUGGUGUAUUAACAACAUAUUUACAACAUCUUCAAAAUGAUUGAUUAAUAAUUCUUAAUUACUCCUCCUAGCUCCCCAAAGAUGGAUGACACAAAUGUAUAGUCAGUGGGAAAAAAAUGUCAGAAAAUGUUAGUCACUGUAAUGGGAUGGGAAGGAAGAAAAGAGCCAGCACUUAUCAAGUACCUUCUAUGUACAAACUGCCAUUUCAGACUCAUAGCAGUCCUUGAAGGUCAAGAACUAUGGAAUCUUUCAGAUGAUAUUCUGAUACUUCUGGACAAAGAUUGAAUUGGUUCUUCAUGAAAAAUAUCUGGGACCUUUUAU